UAAUACCAGCACCCCGAGUGGUCGGGACGAUUAUUGGGCCUAAAGCAUCCGUAGCCGGUUCUACAAGUCUUCCGUUAAAUCCACCUGCUCAACAGAUGGGCUGCGGAGGAUACUAUAGAGCUAGGAGGCGGGAGAGGCAAGCGGUACUUAGUGGGUAGGGGUAAAAUCCGUUGAUCCAUUGAAGACCACCAGUGGCGAAGGCGG
rnacentral:rRNA from 1 species